AGAAGAUGAGGGUUUGGUGGAGCCAAGCUUAGGAUAAGAAAGGAAGAAGAAUCUGGCUGUAAACAAAGCAACUUAUUCCAGGGUUUGCUUCACUGUCACAGAUUGCCUCAGAAAAUGUCAGUAGGCUAUGGCCAUGCUGUCUUGAAGAAGCUGAGUUGAACAAAUCAACCCCAACAAUCGAAUUAAAACAGGGUUUCCCUCAGUGUCUCCGACCCGUGCAGACGAUCAGUGAUAUAAUAAUAACAAACACAUUAUGUGAAGAUAAUUAAACAGACUGACAUGGAGAUACAAACAUCAGGUAAGCAUCAGGUA